UACGUAGGGUGCGAGCGUUAAUCGGAAUUACUGGGCGUAAAGCGUGCGCAGGCGGUUCGUUGUGUCGGCGGUGAAAGCCCCGGGCUUAACCUGGGAAUGGCCGUUGAAACUGGCGAACUGGAGUGUGGCAGAGGGGGGUGGAAUUCCGCGUGUAGCAGUGAAAUGCGUAGAGAUGCGGAGGAACACCGAUGGCGAAGGCAGCCCCCUGGGCUGACACUGACGCUCAGGCACGAAAGCGUGGGGAGCAAACGGG
rnacentral:rRNA from 1 species